UACGUAGGGGGCUAGCGUUGUCCGGAAUCAUUGGGCGUAAAGCGCGUGUAGGCGGCUUGAUAAGUCUGCUCUGAAAGCCCGGGGCUCAACCCUGGGAGGCGGGUGGAUACUGUCGAGCUCGAGUCCGGAAGAGGCGAGUGGAAUUCCUGGUGUAGCGGUGAAAUGCGCAGAUAUCAGGAGGAACACCAAUGGCGAAGGCAGCUCGCUGGGACGGUACUGACGCUGAGACGCGAAAGCGUGGGGAGCAAACAGG
rnacentral:rRNA from 1 species